CUUCCAAAGUAGUAACACACGAAUAAAGGCAACAUUGUGAAAUAUAAGGCAGCCGAACGUCAAAAAAUAAACAGAGAAUGCUGCCUUAUUACUUUACCUGUUUAUUGCAUGAUACAAAAAUAUAAGGUAGUUUCAUUUAUUGACAUUCGUUGUUGUUGCCGACCACUUGACUUUUAACCAUGAUACAAAAAUACAAGGUAGUUUCAUUUAAAUUUUUUUUGAUUAAAAAGCAGAUUAUUGACAUUCUCCCUGAUGUCAACAUUUGGCAUAGCGUUGCUACAUCGGAAAUUUGUAGGAGAGGGUAAUUUCUAAUCAUAUAUUGGAUAUUAUUUAUAAAAUGGUGGAUUUCAUAAAUGCUGAAUGAAGAGGCAUAUAACACAAAAACUUAAUGUUCGCAUCCAAAUUGACUCAAGCCCAUUUUUGAAAUUAUGUAGCCGCCAAAGUUUUCCAGGCCAUCGAACUCAAUAUCACUCAGCGCGGUCAUGCGAUCCAAAAAAUUAUUGGCUUCUUCCUGUUCUUGAAGCUACAACAGAUAUGUAUACGGAUGUUUGCAAUAUAAUCUAUAUUUAAAGUAAUAAAAGUAGACGAUUUUCUACCUCGAUAUGUUCUGCUGGUGACAAGGGAA